AGGAGAGGUGUGUGGAAUUAAUAUUCCAUCUCGAUUUUUCCUGUGUAAUUUAAUAAGUUGACUAAGCUUAUCAGAGGCACACAAGCUGCUUUUAGCUAUGGGGAGAGCCCCACUCACGAAGCCGCCUCACUUUUCCAACCGACAAAGCUCACAUUAGAGCGGUUGACCGGUCAAGCAGGCCACGAGACAGAAUGAUGCAAUCCCCUUCCACUCUGACAAAUGGGGACCCUCAGCGCAGGAGGAAGCCGAGCCAAAGCCGGCCGGGAAGGGGUCAGAGACUUGCGGCAGAUUUAUGAAGCCCCCGCCCCCGAGCCCGGGCAGCUGGACAGCUCUGUCCUCCGUCCAGGCUUCCAGGCCUGCGCCACCCGCCCUCGUCUGAGUCACCUGGGUGGAGCUGGCAGUUUCUCAUCUGCGCUGUCUGACCAGUUCCCAGAGCGGCCAGAUCUGCAGCGCCGGCAUCCCAUAUGGGCACCGGUUUGAGUCCCAGCUGCUCCACUUCCUAUCCAGCUCCCUGCUAAUGUGUCUGAGAAACCAGCGGAGGAUGGCUCAAGUGCUUGGACCGCUGCACCCAUGUGGAAGGCCCAGAGGAAGCUCCUGGCUCCUGGCUUUGGCCUGGCCCAGCCCUGGCUGUUGCGGCCAUCUGGGGAGUGAACCAGCAGAUGGAAGAUCUCUAUCCGUGUCUCUCCUUCUCUUUCUCUCUGUAACUCUGCCUUCCAAAUCAAAUAAACAAAUCCAUAAAAACAAAAACAAACAAGCAAAAAACCCCACAGGUUCCUAAGCCUAAACCCAAAAGAAUUUGGCCAAGGAGAAUCUGCAUGUGGUUGCUAAUAAAAGAUGAUAAUGAUGAACGAACAAAUAAAGCCUAUGGCCUUUAGCAAUCACCUGGAGGCUGCCAGAAACCGGAUUGGUGUGACCGAAAUAGACAUCGUAAAGAGAAAUAGCAAACGAGGUGAACUUGAGGGAUGGGUUUGUGUGCGCCCUAAAACAAAUCCCCUGGUUUUCAUCUUCUUUGCCAUGACUUCAUGGAGCAAAGUCUCAAUUUACCAAGUUAACGGCAGCGCUGGCUCCGUGCACUUGAGCGGUUCCCGUCCUUGGAGGUUGGCCCCUUCUGCGUAUCUGCUCGCAGGUCUGACUUGGCCCAGAGCCUGAGGCUGGGUUCGGGGCCAGCACCCCUGCAAUCAGGGAGGCCAGCUGAGGUGGUAGACUUGCUGGGGCUGCAGUGGCGCGGGCAGGAGGCUGGGGCAGGUCUUUCACCACCAUCACAGGCCUUUGAGCGGAAGGGAGGUACCUACAGCCUGAUGAAUCGAGUCCUGGUGCACUGCUGGAGUAAGAAAGAGUUCUCGGCGGCAUCAAGGCGAGAGCGUGGAGCCAGGCAGUCACAAAGCUGGGGACAUCGUCGCCAGGGCCUGGCCCUUCUGCCAGAAGCUUGCCUCUGUCUGUAGGCACGGGAGCCACAGGAAAAGUAUUGCCUGCUCUGAAGUUCAUGUCUACUGCUCCAUGACCUGGCUCUUUCUGUCCCAGCCACGGGCUCCCACUUGGUCCCAGGCCCUCCCCGGUCCCUCCUUUUGGCUUGUCCUACCUGGACUUGGCAGUGGGUUCCAUUUCUGCUUCACGACUGUCCCGGGAAUCCCCUAGUCUCAGUCCUCAAAGUCCAGCUCAGUCUCUGCAACUGCAUCCAAAUCAGGUGCCUGGGACACUGCAGCAGCUCAGUUUCCGGGCCUCAGUGGUGGGGACGAGAGGCUAAGAAGAGCAGGUCAGGGGCUGGCACUGUGGCAAAGCACGUAAAGCCACCUGCAACACCGGCACCCCAUAUGGGCUGC